AGGAGAGAGGUUGCUGAUGGCUGUGGGAAAGGUCGCGACCUCAACAAGGGCUGUGGUGCCCAUGAGGGUCAGAUGGACGCUGCAGUGAGGAGGGAGCAGAAACCCAGAUUGAGGCCAGCUGGUGGAGAGAAGAGAGGAGAAUAAAAGCUCCAGAAGCAGCUGAAGAUAAGAGACCCUCCAUCUAUGUGCUACAGGAGAGCACCACCGGCAGAGGUGCUGCAUCCAGCCAGCGCUCCCUCCAAGGCCACGCCCCCGGGGCCGGGCCUACCCCCAGUGGGAGGGGCGCCUUGGAGUGGAUGGAGAUGCCCCACGGCCUGGACCACCUGUGGCGGAGUCUGAAGGCUGCCCUGCCCCAACGCCUAGUCCCAGACCGGCUGCCUUUCCACGAGAGUCCUGUUUUGCGGAUGACCGAGUGGCUUUCCUUCUGAUGACCCCUCUCUAAGUGAGGAGAGAGAACCUCUGUCCUUCAACCUUGCAAUCCUGUUGUGUCCAUCUUACAGACAAUGGAAUGGAGGCCCAGACACUGUCCCAUGGUCCCCAGCCCCCAGCAGAUAAGAAAGCUGAGGCUCAGAAGAUCAGCAACUCAUGUAAGGAUGGAACCAGCUCUGUCUGUUCUCAAAGCCUGCACUGCCCUUUCACCAUGCUGCCGCACGCAGUGGGAUCCACGGGAGAAUGGGUGCCCAGCUCUGUGCUGCCGCCAGGACGCCCAGUCGGGAUACAUGAAACCUGCUUUCCCAGCAAGAAACUGUUCAGGGCGCUGAGAGGGGGAAGACUGAGAGGCGCUGUGCCCCCGAGCCUCAGUCCACACAGCAUCACUCUGUGAGGGGGUGUCAGACAGGUCCUCAAGGAAGCUGUGACCUAAUAAGGGCAGUGAGGCAGAGCUCAGUGUCCCAAGAAGAGAUGACAAGGGCAAGGCUGUUGAUGCCUCAGAAAACUCCGCUGUGUGCUCCUGAGAGAAGGAGAGCAGGAAGGCAAAGAACGUUUCUGAAAGUGGACCACACUGCCAGAACCGUGGACUCGGGGCCUUCUGAAGUUGGUUAUGUACCUAACCAGAGGGUCUUAACUGAGGCAGUGGUUGACCUGUCAGCCCCAGGAAUAUGGCUUUGAUUUGCUAACAGGUCCUAAUGAAGUUAUUUAUGAAUACAUGAAUAAUCCUUUACGGUAGGAAUGUAGUUGCCACCCUAAACCUCACCUAUUGAUUUCCUGAUGUUUAGUAGAUGGUAGUCACUUAAGGAGCCUUAAUGUGGACACCAUACUCACACACACACACACACACACACACACGCACGCACGUGAGUGCACAGGUGUACAUAGGAAGAGAAGCUGAUGAAAUGUUCAAGGUGGCCAUAAUUGCAGUGUUAUGUCUUCUUUUUAGCUAUUUUUUAAACUAGAUACUGUCAGAAUUGAGUUGAAUUGUAAACAAGUGAUUCAUGCCCAUUGUAGGAAACUUAGGAAAUGCCGGUGGCCGAAGGGAAAGACUGCUUACCCUUAUUCCGCUCCCGCAGGGUUGUCUCUGACAGCAUUUUGGCUAUAGCCUUCUGUGCAGAUACGUUUGUUUUAAAACAAAAGUAGAAACACACUGCACAUAAUUUUUAGAGGCUUGCUUUUUAAUAUUUUACAAUAUUUAUAAGUAUAUAUCCCUCUAAGUAACAUAUACUUCUAUAAUAUUUUUUAAAAGGCUGCUUUCUGUACUCUGUCAUAUAAAUAUAUCCUAAUUUAUUUAACAAACCUCUGAUUGUACAUUUAGUUUGUGUUUUAUUUUGCUAUGAUUAUACAUCUUUGUACCCAUUACCAAUCUGUUUUAACAUAGCUUUUUUAAUGAAAAAUUUCAAGCAAUCGCAAAAGUAGAGAGUGAGGUGGGGAACUCCUGCUUACCCACCACCAGCCUCAGUAAUGACGAGUGUGUCAUCAUCUGUGUCCCCUCCCGCCCCUGCUGGAUUCGAUGCAAAUCUAAGCUCUCAUAUAAUUUCUUCCGUAAAUACUUCAGAAUGUGUUUCUAGAAGAUUAGGGCUCUCUCUUGUUUUAGUAACCUGACCACCAUUCCAUUAUCAAUCUAUAAAAAUUAAUAAUAAUUCUACUCAAAAGAAUUGAAAGCAGGGUCUUGAAGAGGUAUUUGUAUACUCGUGUUCACAGCAGCGUUAUUCGCAACUGCCAAGAGGUGGAAGCAACCCAAGAGUCCGUUGAUGGAUGAAUGGGUAAACAAAACGUGGUGUAUACAUGCAAUGGAAUAUGCGAUAUUGUGAUUUAUAAUAAAUAUAUAUUUGGUCUUCAUCCCCGUUUCUGACACAGAGCUCUUAAAACUUGAAAUUUCCUAAGUCAUGACAGGGAUAAAGGUGUCUUCUGUCUUGUUAAUGAGGUGGCUUUGGACCCACCCUGAGGAUGGGGCUGGUUGCUCGGGGAACCAACCUUGUGAUUAGAGGGUUGAACUUUCAGUUCCACCCCUGACCUCCGGGCAGAGGAGAGGAGCUGGAGGUUGCAUCAACCACCAAUGGCUAAUGAUUUAAUCAAUCAUGGCUGUCUAACUAAGUCUCCAUAAAAACCCGAAAGGACGGGGUUCGGAUUGGUGAACACGUGGGAACUG
ensembl:lncRNA